UAUCUUAAUGCCUCUCAGAGUAUUUGGUUCCUGUAUCUGUCCUCAGGUGAUCUCUUUGUAGGAGACAACUGGAUAUGUUAUGACUUUGCAUUUACCUGGGAUAGAUGACGUGGAGCCUGACAGAAACAGUUGCCUAGAACGGUGUUUAUCAUAGCAGGUCCCAGGUCGAGACCAGAGCCUAUCCAAGAGACAAGAUGUCCUUUUUUAACUAAGAUAGAAUGACCGGUCAAGACACUUGGACACACGAGGGGACAGAUUCAGAAUACGUCUCUUCUUCAUUUUACAAAUUCCUCCCUCGCUGAACAGAAACUUCCACAACA